rnacentral:lncRNA from 1 species
AAAAUAAGGAGCAGCCCAAUUCGUCCUCCUCAAGCACGCUGUCUCCAUUUUUCCUCUCAAUUCUCAAAUCUGAAAACUCACAUUUCUCUCUCUCGAUCCGCUCCAAUUAGCGCCACCGCCGUGGCUGAAUCCGGCGAGCUGCGCCUUCUUCUCCUCGUCUAUUCAUCUCUCUCCCUUCACCCUUUUCAAUUUCUCACUCCAAGUUACACGCUCAAUUUCAAGGAUUGAGCCCUAGUUCUUUCCUUCAAAUCGCCUCCGAGUCUCUCCUUUACAGCAGAUACGCCGCCGCGGUUCUCUUUCCGGUGAAGCCGGCAUCAAGUCAUUGGAGUACAGGCGAGGCCGCGGCCGGCCACUGGCGCUGCUCCCUUCGUCUGCUCACCUCUCCUCCCUCAUCCUUCUCGAUUGAGGCAAAAGGGAAGAGCAGUCCGCCGCUGCCUUCUUAUAAAUCCGGCGAGCGGCUGCGUCCUUCUCUCCGGCGCAGGUCGACGCCUUCGCGUCGGAGCUCCUCUCCUCCCGCCGCUCUGUUUCUCGCCAGGUGCCCCAACCGAGCUCUAUUUUUGUCAUAAACUACCGCUCCUGCUGUCUGUGAGUCGGCGAGGCCGCCGCAUCGUAGCCCCUCUCUGGUUUGGUCCGGCGAGCAGCAAGCACGCAGGUCCGCCUCCGUUACAUGCCUUCGAGAGUUAGCGUCGAUUCUUUAUGAAGCAUCGAGAGUUAGCGUCGGCUCUCGAUUCUUUAUGAAGCAUCGUCGUGCACGUCCUCCAGAUAUGUCGCGAUCGUCUACGGCUCCGUUACCUCGACAAAACAGGGCAGUCAUCGCUUCUCAGCCCCACACCUAAACACGAGCCUAGCUCUCCCGGCUUGGUUCCAGACUUGGGUUCUAGAACUUAGUUAAGCAAGGUAAGGUCUUUAUUCUAGUUUUCGUUCCCCAGUUGAAUAGUCUAUUGUGGAGGCAAGAAAUUAAUCUAGGUGUUGAUUGCUUCUGUAUCAUAUGAAUUCUCAUUGCUUGUGGCUCGCGUAAAAAGAAUAUAGCAUGUAGAUUCUUAUGAAAUAAAAGAUUAUGCCAUUAAUCUCAUACUAUGCAUUUCUAAUAACUGAACAUGUGUCUUGUUGGGGUGUGAAGCAUAUGACAUCAAGAGAGCAAUGAGAUAGGAAUUACCCGUAAUUGCUUUGUGUUUGGGUGGUUGUUGAAGCUUUUGAGUUUAAUGAGAAAAUGGCUGAAAAAGAGUCACAUAUCUUGUUUUUCUUUAACAAUGCAGGGAGAACUAAGAAGAAAAAAAAAAGAUAAGGCUAAAGCCAAUCUUACCUCUUCGAAGUUUUGCAGCAGCUAGACAACUCUCUCAAGCUCUUGAUGCUUAAAGAAAUAAGGACGACUGUUGGCUGAAUAUAAAGAGUAGAGUUGUUGUAGUUAUUGAGUUUGAAAUGAAAGGUGAGUGGCUGAUUGACCUGCUACUAUACCAGGGGAUGGCCUUGGCUAAAAAGGGUGGCUGCAGAGUAGGGGAAUAGCUUGUAGUUGUAAUUGCACUAAUCUCCUUGCUUUUGUGUAUAGUUAGUAGUGAAAGAAUGAUGAUUGUAAAUAUCGUUCUGAUGUGAUGAUACAUAAUUAAAAUCCUCCACUAUUGAUUAAUCGCGUAUUGGCAUGUAAAACUAGCUUUCGU